AAGAGGCUUGCUCUCCCUCUUUUAUAUCUCCCCUCUUUGGUAUCUUCCCUCUUGAACUAUUGCUUCUCUGGCAUGUGCCACCCUGCCCUGAAUCCAGCCAAUUAUGGAUUGAAACCUCUACAAACUGGACACAAACCUGGCGCAGGUUGGGAGUUAUGUUUCUCCUGUAUCACAAGGCGGAAAUGGUGUGAUGGAGUUCAGGGCAGAUGAAAAGCUACUCAUGACAUGGUGGCCAAGAAACAGAGCAAAGAAGGCAGGCGUCAAAGAGGAAGAUGUACCCGUCCAGGUCACGCCUGUCUCUUCUGUCCAGACCCUGCUACCUCACAGCACAGUUAGCUGAUCAUAUUCAGGUUUGUGUGUCGGGCCUUUGGUCAUCAUGUGGUGGUGUUCAGGUGGUACAUGGUGUGACAUGGCUAGGACACUGGAGAUGCUACCCUUGGAACAGGUUAAGGAUCUUGCCAUGUGGUGCAGGCUGGCCUUGAACUCACUAUAUAGCCCAGAUUGGCCUCAAACUCACAGCAAUCCUUCUGCCUCAGCCUCCCAAGUAUGGAAUUACAGGCAUGCACCACCACACCAGGGAUUGGAUCCAGGGCCUCAUGCAUGCUAGGCCAAUUUUUCCACUCCCACUGAACUAUAUCCCUCGCCAAAAAAAUAAAUUUUAGUCCACUGUGUGAGAGAAAAGCCUGACUUG